rnacentral:lncRNA from 1 species
GAGCCUGAGUCAAGAAUUCUAAUGUCCCAACUGUAAAACAGUCUCCUGGAGGAAGCUUUGGAGAUUGGAGAUUUUCCAUCUGUCUACCAGGUUUCUGGCCCUUUGGAAGAUACCAGCUUGAGUGAGAGAAAACCUGUUUGGAGUGGCUGCUGGCAGCUAGACAGAAGACCACAGAAGAAUCACUUCUCUACUGGACCUACUUUGGACAUUUUCUUCUGGGAUCUUGGCUCAUACACUGGACUCUAUUUUGUGAAAUCCAGUUUAAAUGAACAUCGAAGGGGAAAGAUCAUCAUUAAAGGUCCUGUCUAAUCUCAGUUAUUUAGAUUUUUCUCAAAGUUCAGACUCUAACCUUGGGACAGCUUAAUGGACAGGGUGCAUCUUGGGUGUAUUAUCAAGACUUCAGGUAAAUAAAUCUAAGUCUCAUUUUCUCA